rnacentral:rRNA from 1 species
CUACACGGGUUUCUAAUCCUGUUCGAUCCCCACGCUUUCGUGCAUCAGCGUCAAUACCAGCUUAGUGAGCUGCCUUCGCAAUCGGAGUUCUAAGACAUAUCUAUGCAUUUCACCGCUACUUGUCUUAUUCCGCCCACUUCAAAUGGAUUCAAGCCCAUCAGUAUCAAAGGCACUGCGAUGGUUGAGCCACCGUAUUUCACCCCUGACUUAAUAGGCCGCCUACGCACCCUUUAAACCCAAUAAAUCCGGAUAACGCUCGGAUCCUCCGUAUUACCGCGGCUGCUGGCAC